ANUNGUCAUCUGACNUCAGAUCCGACGCNUGUGAAGGAAGCGNAUUNGCUNGCUCUNUACAUGUGGACUAGUAUGAAUGGAACCACGAGGGUUAUACUGUCUCCUNUCUCUAAUCAGUGAAACUGAUCUCCCCGUGAAGAAGCGGGGAUACACCUAUAAGACGAGAAGACCCUAUGGAGCUUUAAACAAAAUAGCACUUGCCCUACAACACAAAAAUUCCUGAAUCACUAACACACCCGGCAACAUGACUAUAAGUUUKUGGUUGGGGUGACCRCGGAGUACAACACAACCUCCGUAUUGAAAGAAUACUAUUCUAAGCUAAGAACUACGAAUCUAAKCAUCAAAACACUGACAUCUAUUGACCCAAUACAAUUGAACAACGAACCAAGUUACCCUAGGGAUAACAGNGNAAUCCACUUCGAGAGCUCCUAUUCGACAAGUGGGUUUACGGACCUCCGAUGGUGGGNUCAAGGGUCUUCCCAGGG
rnacentral:rRNA from 1 species